rnacentral:rRNA from 1 species
AUUGAACGCUGGCGGCAGGCCUAACACAUGCAAGUCGAGCGGAGCGGCGGACGGGUGAGUAAUACCUGGGAAUCUGCCUGGUAGUGGGUGAUAACGUCCGGAAACUAACGCUAAUACCGCAUAGUAUCAGGUGAGCCUAGGUCUGAUUAGCUAGUUGGUGGGGUAAAGGCCUACCAAGGCGACGAUCCGUACCUGGCCUGGGAGGCUGAUCAGCCACACUGGAACUGAGACACGGCCCAGACUCCUACGGGAGGCAGCAGUAGGGAAUAUUGGGCAAUGGGCGAAAGCCUGACCCAGCAACGCCGCGUGUGUGAAGAAGGUCUUCGGAUCGUAAAGCUCUUUAAGUUGGGAGGCGGUACCAACAGAAUAAGCAACGGCUAACUUCGUGCCAGCAGCCGCGGUAAUAC